rnacentral:rRNA from 1 species
UCUGUUUGAUCCUGGCGGAGGCCACUGCUAUCGGAGUUCGAUUAAGCCAUGCGAGUCGAGAGGUGCAAGACCUCGGCAUACUGCUCAGUAACACGUGGACAAUCUAACCUACGGAGGGGGAUAACCCCGGGAAACUGGGGAUAAUACCCCAUAGACUAUGGAUGCUGGAAUGCUUUGUAGUCGAAAGGUCCGCCGCCGUAGGAUGGGUCUGCGGCCGAUUAGGUUGUUGUUGGGGUAACGGCCCAACAAGCCUGUAAUCGGUACGGGUUGUGGGAGCAAGAGCCCGGAGAUGGAUUCUGAGACACGAAUCCAGGCCCUACGGGGCGCAGCAGGCGCGAAAACUUUACAAUGCGGGAAACCGUGAUAGGGGAACUCCGAGUGCCCGUUAAAUCGGGCUGUCCACCAGUUUAAAUAACUGGUGAAGAAAGGGCCGGGCAAGACCGGUGCCAGCCGCCGCGGUAAUACCGGCGGCUCGAGUGGUGGCCACUAUUACUGGGCUUAAAGCGUUCGUAGCUGGUUUGUUAAGUCUCUGGGGAAAUCUUCCGGCUUAACCGGAAGGCGUCUCAGGGAUACUGGCAGACUAGGGACCGGGAGAGGUGAGGGGUACUCCAGGGGUAGGAGUGAAAUCCUGUAAUCCUUGGGGGACCACCUGUGGCGAAGGCGCCUCACCAGAACGGCUCCGACAGUGAGGGACGAAAGCUGGGGGAGCAAACCGGAUUAGAUACCCGGGUAGUCCCAGCUGUAAACGAUGCGCGUUAGGUGUAUCGAUGACCACGAGUCAUCGAGGUGCCGAAGAGAAAUCGUGAAACGUGCCGCCUGGGAAGUACGGUCGCAAGGCUGAAACUUAAAGGAAUUGGCGGGGGAGCACCACAACGGGUGGAGCCUGCGGUUUAAUCGGACUCAACGCCGGGAAACUCACCAGUUAAGACAGCUGAAUGAUAGUCGGGCUGAAGACUCUACUUGACUAGCUGAGAGGAGGUGCAUGGCCGUCGUCAGUUCGUACUGUGAAGCAUCCUGUUAAGUCAGGCAACGAGCGAGACCCA